rnacentral:tRNA from 1 species
GGGGGUGUAGCUCAAUGGCAGAGCAGGCGCCUUAUAAGCGUCAGACCCAGGUUCAAUUCCCGGCAUCCCUACCA